AGAGCCGCCGCCGCCGCGGGCACCUCCACCCCGCCUCUCAUCCACUGGAAGCGCAAGGUCUCAUCCAUUCCCCUUACCACAAGACCCUAAUUCCUCCUCUACCUCAUGCCCCCCUCUUCUCCCGCCCAGGCUAAGGAGCGGAAGCGCGAGAUCCUCCGCCUCCGCGAAGAGCUCAAGAUCCUCCAAGAUGGGGUGCGCGGGGAGGAGACGGAGCCGCCAGUCGCGUCGUGCCGGUGCCACUUCUUCGAUGGGUGCGGGGACCUACAGCCGCAGCAGCCGCCCGGUGGCGGGGAGCACUGGGUCGACGAGGUGCUGCGGAGGAGGUUCCUCAGAUUGGCGCGGUGGAAGGAGAAGCGGCGGAGACUGGAUCGACCUCUUCCAGUCACUAGUUUGAUGGAGUUCAAUAGAGAGGAUGAGAUACAGCAGCUUAGCUUGUCAACUGAUUUCCUGGUGGAGCUAUCAGAUGGCAUCUUUGCCAAAAGGGACUCUAUGUCCUCAUUUGCUACAUUCUCUCACCAAGCAGUAGACUUCAUUUUGGCUUCACUAAGGAACAUUCUAUCAACAAAAAGGGAAAGGGAACUGGUUGAGGAGAUAAUUGAUGGUCUAGUAGCACGUUUGAUGAAAAGGAUGUGUACCAUUUCUGAAAAUAAUUGUACUUCAGAUUCAGGAUCAGUUGACUGCUCAGAUGCCCAAUUUUCUGUGCAGCACUUGUUCCGGAAGUUAGGACAGGAAGAGUUCAUUGGUCAGCGGAUAAUCCUUGUAGUUUCUCAAAAGAUCUCAAAUCUAUCAGAAAUGUUACUUCUGGUAGAUCCGUUUGAUGAUUCCUUCCCUGAUAUGCAUGGCAAUAUGUUCAUUAUGAUUCAAUUAAUCGAGUUUCUCAUAUCUGAUUACAUAAAAAAUUGGCUAUGUUGCGAGCAAUUUGACAAAAAUUUUUUUGAAGAAUGGGUCAGAUCUAUUCUCAAGGCACGCAAAGACUUGGAAGUCCUAGAAAACAUAAAUGGGCUGUAUGUUGUGUACAUUGAGCGAGUGGUUGGAAGGUUGGCAAGGGAGGUGGCUCCUGCUGCCCAUCAGGGGAAGCUGAACCUUGACGUCUUCUCCAAACUCCUGUGCUGAGAACGUCCAGCCUAAGACUUGCCAAUGUAUUAACUCACAAGUCACUUGACUCACAAGUCAACAUGUUUAAUAAUUUUCUGUUUUGCUGUUAUUCUGGAACCACAUCUUGUCUCAUUGUUCUCUAAUACUCGCAUAGUCAAUUUCAGGAUGCUUACCUACAGUAAGACGUUGCAGCAGCAAGCUGCUGUUCUUUUCCUCAUUGUAUGGCCAGGAACCAAGACAUAGCCAAAGUAUGUUAUAUUAACUCCCAUCACGUGUGGAUGCGUAGUUACUGCGAAUCACUUUACUGUAACCAUUUAUGUACUGGAAUUAUUUAUUCUAGAAACUUAUAUAUAUAUGGAUUCUGGCAUAUAAGAGAAACUUAAGAAUC